CGCAUCCGUGGCGAGGACGACAAUGAUGCUGCCAUCUUUCAUCGCGCUUUUUCUCUCUUCUUCCUCCUUUGCAGCCUCGUGUGAGCCCGCUGACAUAGCCGCUUCUGCCUCCCGCUCCUCAAUGAUCCUCCCAAGCGGCACUCCGCCGAUCCGCAAGUCGCGCUUCUUCCCAUAAUUCGCCUGUACGAGCGCAGCAACUGUAUACUGCACCCCAACCCCAAACUCCUUCCCUUCGAUAACUCGACUCGCACUCCCCGUACCCCCCUUAUAGCCAUGGCAACACAUCCCCGUCCCACCCCCAGUAUUCCCCUCGGGAACACUCUCCCCACCCCGGGCCCGCUCAAUCCCCCUGACCACCAUCUCCGGCGUAACAGCCAUAGCCCCAAUAUCGUUCAGGUGAGAAUCGCACGUCUCCGCGAUGACCGGCAGGAGAAACCAAUUCACCAGCCCGGUCCGCUUAUUAGCAUACUCACGAACCGCAUACUCGUAGACGCCGUUGUAACACGCACCCACGGAGAAGGAGUUGGUGAUGAUGAUGGGCGAGUUGAGAAGGCCCGUCUCGUCCAGCCAGUGCGAGCCGGUCAUUUCACCGGAGCCAUUGAAGCGGAAGUACCCCGCGUAGCAGGCCC
rnacentral:sRNA from 1 species